GCGCCAAUAGUCUAGCCUGGUAGGAUACGAGCUUCCCAAGCUUGUGGCUCGGGUUCAAAUCCCGAUUGGCGCA
rnacentral:tRNA from 1 species